GCUCUGUUGCAGUGGAGCACGGCAAAGGUAUCGUGCCAGCAGCAGGAGCAGAGCAGAAGGAAUAUUUUGACCCUUCUUCUAAGAAUAAGGUUCCUACACUGGAGGCAGGAGAUCUUCAGCUAAGGUCUGAUUCUUCAAGUCAAACAGAUUCUCAGCUGGACAGACAGCCAUUGGUCAGGCAGCUGCUGGAGAAGCCUGAUGAAGUUCUCAAAAAGAACUCCCUGGCAGAACCUUCA